CCAAUAGCGUAUAUUAAAGUUGUUGCAGUUAAAAAGCUCGUAGUUGAAUUUUGGGUCUGGCCGGGCGGUCCGCCCUCCGGGUGAGUACUGUUCCGACGCCGGGCCUAUCCUUCUGGAGAGUCGGCAUGUCCUUUAUUGGGUGUGCCGGGGAACCAGAACCAUUACCUUGAAAAAAUUAGAGUGUUCAAAGCAGGCGUAUGCUCGGAUACAUUAGCAUGGAAUAAUGAAAUAGGACGCGUGGUGCUAUUUUGUUGGUUUCUAGAACCACCGUAAUGAUUAAUAGGGAUAGUUGGGGGCAUUAGUAUUCAAUUGUCAGAGGUGAAAUUCUUGGAUUUAUUGAAGACUAACUUCUGCGAAAGCAUUUGCCAAGGAUGUUUUCAUUAAUCAAGAACGAAAGUUAGGGGAUCGAAGACGAUCAGAUACCGUCGUAGUCUUAACCAUAAACUAUGCCGACUAGGAAUCGGGCGAUGUUAUUCUCAUGACUCGCCCGGCGCCUUAUG
rnacentral:rRNA from 1 species